rnacentral:tRNA from 1 species
AAAUUCUUAGUAUAUAUAAGUAUAUUUAAUUGCAAAUUAAAGGGUUGAGAAUUUU